rnacentral:lncRNA from 1 species
CGGAGGGCCGCGUCCCGCGUGUGAAUACCCGUGUGUUAUGCGUGUAAUUUACAUGAGAAACGUGGAGGAUAACAGCGUUCUCGACGGCGUGAAAGUGAGGCGGUCUCUCAAGAGCGGUGACCGUGUGUUAGAAGUGAGUGCUCCGUGAAGGAGGCCGUAGGCGCAGCAACUGCAACUCAUACUUACCUGGCAGGGGAGAUACCAUGAUCAUGAAGGUGGUUUUCCCAGGGCGAGGCUUAUCCAUUGCACUCCGGAUGUGCUGACCCCUGCGAUUUCCCCAAAUGCGGGAAACUCGACUGCAUAAUUUGUGGUAGUGGGGGACUGCGUUCGCGCUCUCCCCUGACUUUAGCGGUUUAAAAAUAGACGUUUCUCCUUUAGAGCCUCCAGUAGGCGCUGCGUAAGCGCUAUAUAUUUGGUUUAGUAUAGACAUAAGUUGACUACUUUUUGUUUGUCAAGUCUCCAGUCCUGACUGCAUGCACACGCUGUAAAUGACGAUAAACCUAAAGGCUUGAGCACAUGCUGAUCUGAGAGUCAGAGUCAAGAAAGAUGUCAUUCACUCUGGCAGCAUCGAAUGUCGGCAGUGGCAGCACACAGUGUCCAGCACAUGGUGCCAACAGCUGUGACAAGCCAGACAAUCCCAAAGUAAGAAAAAAGCUGCAAAUUUAUGAGAGCCCUCAUCCAGUGGCUGAAGGAAGCAGAGACAGACAUCCACAGAUAUACACUGAGCUGAAAUCUGGAAUUUAGUUGAAGAGAGGAAGGAAUGAAGAUCGAAGGGGUCUGUACCAGGUUGGAGAAACCCACAGGAACAGUUGGCCUGAACAAGAAAGAGCACAUCGACCCCAGAUGCUGUCUGGGAGGCCAGUACAAGACUGAUCCAGACCCCUGAACAUGGAUGUCAAUAAGGAGGCCUCAGCCCUCCAAGGAGCCUCUGGUAGUGGAUUAGUAUUUUUCCCUGGUGCAAGAAGGGACUUUGAGAGCCCAUCCCACAUGAAGGGAUACACUCUGGCCCUGGACACAAGGGGAAGGGCCCAGGCCCAGCAAAGGAAGAUUUGAUGGACUUUGCAGAGCCCCAAUUGAGGGCCCUACCCUGCCUGGGGAGUGGUGGGUGGAUGGGGUGGGGGGUAGGUUGGGUGUGGGGGAGAAGGGAUGGGGUGAGGGGAGGGAGAGGGAGAAGGGACUUACAUGUGAAACAAGCUUGUUCCCUAACUUGAACUAAUAAAAAAAAUUAAAAAAAAAUAAAGAAGCUGGGUGUGAUGGGAGCGUGCCUGUACUUCCAGUACUGGGGAGACUGAGGCAGGAGAAAAUAUUGUAAGUUCAAGGCCACCAAGCUGUCAAGUUUGUGACCCUUAGGUUGGACAAAGUCUCUGAGCUGUCAUGGCAGGAUAGGCCCGACUCCUUCUCUAACCGCACAAGUCCACGUGCCCUGCACAGACCCCUGUGCAGGACAUCCACGGACCAUUUUGGGAACCGGCAGGGCACUGUGGAAGCCGACCAUGGAAGCUCUUCUCCAACCUCUGGUGUGACAGGCUGAGCCUCUCUCUAAGCCUCAGGGUGUCCGAACGACGGCAACUUGCAGCGGGACGCACGACUCACACCUCGUCCUCGACGGAAUUCCGCACGCCGCUCCGGGGCCUCCGCCUCCCGCUCGGGCUGCGGCCACGCCCCCGCGGCUUCCUGGCGAAGGUAAGGGAGCACGAGGCCCGGCACCGCCCUCCCUGCCUUCGUGCGCACGUCGGUCCAAGCGCGCGACUGCACCCACGGCGCCCUCCGCGGCCCGCCGGCCACCCGCGUGGGUGCCGCGACCGCGAACCACCUCGCUGGCGCGAGCGUCGCAGCGGCGGCGAAAAAAGGU